UACGUAGGGUGCGAGCGUUGUCCGGAAUUAUUGGGCGUAAAGAGCGUGUAGGCGGCCAGGCAGGUCUGCUGUGAAAACUCGAGGCUCAACCUCGAGACGUCGGCGGAAACCAUCUGGCUAGAGUCCGGAAGAGGAGAGUGGAAUUCCUGGUGUAGCGGUGAAAUGCGCAGAUAUCAGGAAGAACACCCGUGGCGAAGGCGGCUCUCUGGGACGGUACUGACGCUGAGACGCGAAAGCGUGGGGAGCGAACAGG
rnacentral:rRNA from 1 species